rnacentral:rRNA from 1 species
AUUGAACGCUGGCGGCAUGCCUUACACAUGCAAGUCGAACGGCAGCACGGGAGCAAUCCUGGUGGCGAGUGGCGAACGGGUGAGUAAUGUAUCGGAACGUGCUCAUUCGUGGGGGAUAACGUAGCGAAAGCUACGCUAAUACCGCAUACGAUCUACGGAUGAAAGAGGGGGAUCGAAAGACCUCGCGAGAUUGGAGCGGCCGAUAUCAGAUUAGGUUGUUGGUGAAGUAAAAGCUAACCAAGCCUGCGAUCUGUAGCUGGUCUGAGAGGACGACCAGCCACACUGGAACUGAGACACGGUCCAGACUCCUACGGGAGGAAGCAGUGGGGAAUUUUGGACAAUGGACGCAAGUCUGAUCCAGCAAUGCCGCGUGCAGGACGAAGGCCUUCGGGUUGUAAACUGCCUUUGUACGGAACGAAACGGUGAGCUCUAAUACAGUUUGCUAAUGACGGUACCGUAAGAAUAAGCACCGGCUAACUACGUGCCAGCCGCCGCCGUAA